UUUGGUUCAAAAACAAAGAAGGGAAGA
rnacentral:piRNA from 1 species